AGUUGUGAAAUUUGAGGGUGAAAUUCGAGUCACUCAGAAAACUUUUUAACAAAUUCGAUGAGUUUAACGACUUUGUCCAAUUGUUGGGUGAUUUUUCAUCAAAUACAUUUAUUAUUUAUCAUCCCCCUUUGACGUGCCAACGAGUACUGUGACAAAAGAAGCAACUGAGAUUUGUUCCGGCCUUAUGGCAAAAAAUAUCAUAAGGUAUUUAAGGUACACCGUGGCAAGUUGAAACGGGUGCGGCAAGAUGAAACGCGAAGUUUUGAAAUAGAUUUCAAUACAAUUUGAAAAUCAGGGCCCAUAUAGCCGAGGCGGUAAACGCACGGGUAUUCAGCAUGACCAUGCUGAGGGUGACGGGUUCGAUUCCCGGUCGGUCCAGGAUCUUUUCGUAAAGGAAAUUUCCUUGACUUCCUUGGGCAUAGAGUAUCUUCGUGCCUGCCACACGAUAUACACAUGCAAAAUGGUCAUUGGCAGAGGAAGCUCUCAGUUAAUAAUAACAAAGCUGAGAAGCAGGCUUUGUCCCAGUGAGGACGUUACGCCAAGAAGAAGAAGAAGAACUGUGGCAAGCGUAUCACUAAUAUGUAGCUUAUUUGACGUAUGAUGUUAAUAUUAUUUUAUAUUUCAGAUUAUCAACCGAAGAAUCUAGUAAUUCAACCAAAUGCCAACAAGAUGACGAGGAAACCAGGAUGAAUUGGGCAGACAACUGAUUCGAAGCAGUCUAACAAUGGUGUGCCUGAACGUUAACCAAGCGUAUCCUUUGGAGUUUACCCUUCCACUAACAACACCCAAAUUCCCGUGACACCUAGGCCUGAGAGAUCGUAGAGUUGUCUACAUUUUUCAUAGGUGUCCAAAACUAACCAUCCUUUCUCAUUCCUCAGCAGUCGCAAGGACGUGGCCAGGACAGUGCUCGACCAUUGGAGGAUUGCGUCAGUCUUGUCUAAGAGUCAGAGAUUAGUCCCAAAUCUUUGUGCUUUGGUUCGGACGGGAAGGAGGCAACCCUCAUAA